rnacentral:rRNA from 1 species
AACGAACGCUGGCGGCAUGCCUAACACAUGCAAGUCGAACGGGACCUUCGGGGCUAGUGGCGCACGGGUGCGUAACGCGUGGGAAUCUGCCCUUGGGUUCGGGAUAACAGUUGGAAACGACUGCUAAUACCGGAUGAUUUCUUCGGACCAAAGAUUUAUCGCCCAAGGAUGAGCCCGCGGAGGAUUAGCUUGUUGGUGAGGUAAGAGCUCACCAAGGCGACGAUCCUUAGCUGGUCUGAGAGGAUGAUCAGCCACACUGGGACUGAGACACGGCCCAGACUCCUACGGGAGGCAGCAGUGGGGAAUAUUGGACAAUGGGCGAAAGCCUGAUCCAGCAAUGCCGCGUGAGUGAUGAAGGCCUUAGGGUUGUAAAGCUCUUUUACCCGGGAUGAUAAUGACAGUACCGGGAGAAUAAGCCCCGGCUAACUCCGUGCCAGCCGCCGCCGUAA